AAAAAUAAUUAAUUACACAUACUGCGACUAAUUUGUGAGACGAAUCUUUUAAGGCACCUAAUUGCUCCAUAAUUUGACAAUGUGAUGAUACAAUAAAUAUUUGCUAAUGACUGUUUAAUUAGACUUAAUAAAUUCAUCUCGCGGUUUACUAAUGGAUUCUGUAAUUAGUUUUUUUAUUAG
rnacentral:misc_RNA from 1 species